AUAUAAACAAAAUUGAAUUUUUAGGUUCAUUCAUUUAAUGAUGUAUGUGGUCUAUAAUAUGAACCACAUACAUCAUUAAAUGAAUGAACCUAAAAAGUCAAUUUUGCUUAUAC
rfam:Medicago truncatula strain A17 chromosome 7, whole genome shotgun sequence.